GUGAGGAAUAUUGGACAAUGGGCGCAAGCCUGAUCCAGCCAUGCCGCGUGCAGGAAGACGCAUCUAUGGUGUGUAAACUGCUUUUGUACGGGAAGAAACACUCCCUCGUGAGGGAGCUUGACGGUACCGUAAGAAUAAGGAUCGGCUAACUCCGUGCCAGCAGCCGCGGUAAUACGGAGGAUCCAAGCGUUAUCCGGAAUCAUUGGGUUUAAAGGGUCCGUAGGCGGUUUAAUAAGUCAGUGGUGAAAGCCCAUCGCUCAACGAUGGAACGGCCAUUGAUACUGUGAGACUUGAAUUACAAGGAAGUAACUAGAAUAUGUAGUGUAGCGGUGAAAUGCUUAGAUAUUACAUGGAAUACCAAUUGCGAAGGCAGGUUACUACUUGUGGAUUGACGCUGAUGGACGAAAGCGUGGGGAGCGAACAGGAUUAGAUACCCGGGUAGUCC
rnacentral:rRNA from 1 species